rnacentral:lncRNA from 1 species
GCAGCCUCCUCAUGCUACGGAUACCAAAAUGAUGGAGUGAUGAUAGCCGCAGCAAGCGAUGCCAUUUGGGGCAACAGAGCAGCUUGUGGAAAAAGGUACAGAGUGACAUGCACCGGAGCCACUAACCAAGGUGUCCCACAACCUUGCAAGGGAACCAGUGUCGUCAUUAAAAUUGUCGACUAUUGUCCUCCCGGAUGCAGAGGAACCAUUGAUCUCUCUCAAGAGGCCUUCGCCGUCAUUGCUAACCCCGACGCCGGCAAAAUCAAGAUUAGUUAUACUCAGUAAGCACAUAUUAACACUCUCUAAUGAAAAAUUUUGUCCUUAGUAAAGUUUAUCAUGUAUAUGAAACUAUGAGUUCAAAUUUAAUUUUCCUUAUUUUUUAUGGCGUGCAGGGUUUGAAGCUCUCUAAGAAUAAAGUCAUUAGGACUAAGAAGGAAGAGGCCACUUGUAAUGGAAUAAUGAAAGCAGCACACACUGUAUGAAACUAUAAUUAUGUUUCACAUGUGAUGAGCUGAUGUUAUAACUAUAUGAUUAUAUGAUUAAAUAAAGAGGGUCCUUAAGUUACUAUUUUUCAGUUUAAAACAUCUCAUGGUUCAUCAAUUGAAUCAAAUUUUGAUCCUUGGAUAGUAACUUGCAAGCCAUAUAAAUAGAUACAUCUACCUGGAAGCUACCAACGGAGGCCAUAUAAAGACGAAAAAAAACUUACUUGUAACAAGAAUAGCACUGUUUUAUUAUCUCUGGUCAAUAACCAUGACACGUGUAAAAGUUAUAUCACGUGUCAUUGUGUUAUUGACUGAAGAUAACAAAAAGUGAUAUCUCAUUGCACGAGAGUUUCUCUCCAUAAAUACUCCUCAUCCACAAGCUAGCUAGAUGGUCCACAAAACUUUAUCAUUCCCUUGAAUUUUCCAAACCCUGGGUCUAGUCUUGAUUUGAGAUCAACAUACAAUUCCAAACAGGCAAAGCUAACUUACAAGAAAUAAGCGUAGAAAAUACGGGAUUGAUAAAGAAUAAUUUUGUCUCCGCGUCUUCUGCCUCUUUGGCUUGACCAAAAAUUGCAUGGACGAUAAUUUGGGGCAAUCGCAGUUGUCUUUGAAAAUAAUUUUCUACUUUUCCUAUGCAGAAGACAAAAUAAAAAGAAUCAAUAACUGGCAUAUUCCUUGUACCACAAAAUAUUAUUGGUCUCCAUUGGUAGCUCUUUCAAAGAUGACAGCGAAGACUGGCAUUGACGCAGCCAGGACAAAAAAAUAAUGUGCCACGCAACAUGACGAUGGAUAUAAGGUACAGUAUCUAGCUAUACCUACGUUUUCUCUAUAAAAAGGAGGGGAGCCUUCCACUUUACUUCACAAACUACUGCACUAGAAAUAAUUGUUACAAGUUAUUUGUUAGGGAAAGAUUUAAUGGCAUUUGAAAUGCGAGUUCUCAUUGUGGUGGUGGCCAUGGUUGUAUGCCUUCCCUCGGCCGCAUAUGCAGAGCAGGGAACAGCUACUUUUUACACGCCUCCUUACGUUCGUAAGUAUACAAGUUUUUCUUGGUAGUUUUUGAAAGUCACAAGCUAAAUUAGUUUCCAAAAGGAAAACUGGUGCUCAUUAGCUUGUUUUGCCAGUGGCUUUACUUAGCAAUAUGCUCUCACUCGACAUUCCUUAUAUUAAUUUCGGUUUUAUGUAUUUGCUUAAAUUGAUAAUGUGUGCACGGAUGUGUACUAGUUUUCUUUAGUUGAUAAAUUCCUCAAAUAUAACACGAUUUUAGGGUGUGACGUGGGACUUACUCCGCAUUAAAGUAAAGUUUGAUGAUCUAUUUUUAAGUUUCCAUGAAAAGAUAUAUAUCGUUCUUGAAUAAAUAAAGGGUUUUUAAUUUAGCUGCAAGUAUCACCAUUUAAUCAAAGCUUUUAUAUGAUUUUCAAUUUGGCUAAUUCAUUGUAAAGAUGAAUCUUUAGUGGAGAAUUAAUAAAAUAAAGAGAAGUUUCUAAUUCAAAAUGAGAUUUCUCCUAUUUUCCUUGCUGGAAAUUUGAGUGAAAUUAUGCAAAAUUUAAGGAAAAAAAUGGGUCGAUGGAGGAACUAUGACCUCUUUGGCCUUCAUGGCUGCUAUCUUUUCUUUAAGCUGAUGUGCAAAGCUUCAUUAAUCUGAGUAUUACAUUAAUUUCUUAAUUAGGUUUCAAAGAGUAGAGGAAAUUUGUUUAAUCGAGUGUCCUAUAUCUUUCGGAAUGAUUCAAUUAGUGUGUUUAUUCGAAACAAUUUCAACCUGUGUCAGUUUCAUAUGAAUUUUAUAAUAUAAAUUGAUGAGGGUUUUAGUAAAAUGUUUAAAAGGCUUGAAAUUUUACCAUUUUACCCUCUUACAUAUAAUGCGGGCUCCACUAACGCAACUGUAUUUAGAGUACUUCCACUCAUUGUGCCAUGGCAAGGGGCAAACACUAUUCACAUGAAUAGUGACUACCCUACUCUGUUUUAUUUUGCUUUUCCACCUAUUGUCAUGGCAAGUAAAGGCAAACAUUAUUCACAUGAGAUAUGAGGAGAGAAAUUUGUAUGGAGUUUUAGUGUGAGAAGUGAAAAACAUGGUUAGGUAUUUAUAGAAAAAAAAAUUAUGAAUAUUUUGGUAUUUUUUUCCUUUUUACCUCAACAUGAGAUCAAUCAACCCGUAGCAGCUCAAACAAUUCUUACCUUUAGGCUGGCUUGGGUAAAUGGGGUCCAUUUUUGCCCGGGUUGCCUUUCAUUGAUGGGGGGCUUGUUCCAAGUCUGGGCAACAAUGUUUUGCUGAAUAAGUCAAAAUGUUGCAUUAUUAAAAUGUUGACAUGCACCUCACAUUAGUAAUUGUUAACAGGACUAGCUUAGUGGAAAAGGAUUUUGACUUGCAGACUAAAUGUCUCAGGUUCGAAUCUGUGUGUAUGUGUGUGUGUGUGUGUGUGUGUGUGUGUGUGUGAAACCCUCCUCUCUCUUUAAUUUAGACUAUCACUUAUAAUAAAAUAAAUCAAAUAUAAAAUAUAAAAAAUCGUAUUAAUAAUCUACCAGUGUAGUUUGUCUAAAAAUGGCUGGUAACUAGAGAAUGUCUAUAUGUGUCUAUGUAUCAUAUGUGAACAUAGGAGAAUUAUGCAAAAAUCCUUUUUUCAGUCUAUUUUCAAUGAUAUAGGUUAUCUUCGCAUGAUCAUCUUUGCAGAAAAUUAACAAAAUCAAAAGCUUUUUCGCCAUUGAAUACCAUCAAAAUCACUUCAGUUCUAACUGGCAGACUGUAUGUGUUCCUAAGUUUAGAUGGCCGAAAAAGUACAUAUUUGGAUAAUAUUUGUAUCAAGGAUUAAGGAGCAAAUUAUAUGUGUCAAUUUUAAUCAUUGAAUUGCAUUACAGGGUAGUCCCAAGACGAUUCUUAUUUUAUUGAGCUCAUUUUGUGGAGCUGCCCUUGUGUAAAUGGCAAAUCUGCACCCCUUGAGGUUUUUGGCUUUUUCACAAAACCCCAUCAAGUUUACACUAAUAUUUCCCCAUGUAUUCGGCUCUUUUUGAGUUAUUUACACUAACACUCUCUCGUGUUUUAGAUUGUUUUCACAAACCCCUUUUUUGUUAAUAUUGUUCGUCCAAAACUUGAUGGUUUCAUUUUUAAAAAAAAUAUGCAAAUGAUAAAAUCAAUCUCAAUGAAUAUAUGUGCAAUCUAAUAUGAAAUCCUAACUUUGUCAUUUGGAGAAAUUUUUAUAUGAAAUCGUUAAUUUUUGGACAAAAAAUCAACAAAAAAGGGUUUUGUGAAAACAAUUUAAAACCUCAUAGAAUGUUCAUGUAAUUUUUGAAACAUCAAGGGGUUUUUUGAAAAAGCCGAAACUUGUAAUGUUUCAUCUUUAAUGGAAUUCUUUUAAUAAGUCAAAUCUAAAAUUUUAGCCAUUUGAUUACCAUCUAAUGAUUUCACUAUAUUAUUUGUUGGACUACGUUUUUUAUACUGUUUAGAUCACCAAAUAGUUAACAUUGGGCUAAUUUUGUACUGAAACUAUCCAUAACUGGUGACCUAAGAAUAAAACUGGUAAUUAAGGUCAUUGAGUUGCUAAGGGUGGCUCAAGAGAGAAUGUUGGCAUGUAUAUUAAAAUUCUUAUGAGUGUUGUUAUUUCCACACCCUGUUUUAUUUCUUCACUUAUCUUAUCUUCCCACUCAUCAUGUAAAUUUGAAAAAACAUAAUCCUAUCUUUCCACCCACCAUUAUUUUUAAAAUACUUAUUAUUUUUCCACCCACCAAGUAAAUAAUAAUAUAUUAUUAAAUUAAUUAAUAAACAAUAUAAAAUACUCAAACAAACAAAAAAAGACUCUCCCCCCAUCCACCAUGGGGAGGAGAGAGAGACAGAGGAGGGAAAAUAGAGGAGGAGGGCCGAGCGGGUGGGUGAAGGCGAAGAGACAGAGGGUGGGAUGGGGUUAAUCUUUUUAGUUUUUUAUUUAUAAUCUUUUUUUAUUUUAAUGUUAUAAUUUUUUUUUUCUAAAUCCUUAAAAGUUAUUUUUUAAAUAGAUAAAUUUAUCUUUAAUAUUUUAAAAAUAAGGUAAGUGAAAAAAUAAAACAAAAUGUGGAAAUAACAACACUCAUUCUAAUAUCUCUGCAUGUGUGCACAUACCCAGCUAAUAAAUUAAAGUAAAAAUAGACAUUAUAAAAAGGAAAAAAAUAAAAUCAUCCUCUACCUGUAUGUAGAAGGUGCAUGGAGGUGUAAUAAGAUGGCGGAACUAUACUAUGGGCUGCAAGGGCCAUAACCCAUAGUGGUUUUUGGGGGGGAAAAAUCAAACCUAUAGAUUUGAUUUGUUUUAUGAGAACCUUUCCUAUUGAGAGGGGUGAUAGCAAAUUAAACUCAUACACACUACAUGGAUGUUAGGACUCGAAUCUAAAACCUUGUCUGAAGGAGUAAAUACUCCAAACCACUACACUAGUGAGUCCUUUGCAAGAUUUGUUUUAAAUACAUGAUAGUAUGUAUUAACUUAUUAAAGUCCAAAAAAUUCAAUUCUUUAUGCAUUUAGUUGCAGGGCAAUAAUAAAAAUACAAAUUAAAAUUCGUACACUUUGAAUUAUGUUGAUAUAUUUCAAUUUUGAUAAUAUGUGUUUUUUGGUUGCUUUUAAUAUGUAUUUGUUUUAUAUUAAAGCUUAUUAGAAAUUAGUAAAAAAAUAUGAACUAGAAUGAUUUAUAUGAUUUAAUGUAUACUUUUAUUUCUAGAAAGACUAUGAUAUAAGAUAAUAAAAAAUAUACAUAUCAUUAGAUUAAUUUAAAUCUACCUAUAAACAUUUCAUGAAGACAAACAUUAUCCAAGUUGAUCCUAUAUCAAAAGAGAACCCUUAAUUAUACAUCCAUUAAUAAUUUUCUGGUUGACGUGCAGCCUCCUCAUGCUACGGAUACCAAAAUGAUGGAGUGAUGAUAGCCGCAGCAAGCGAUGCCAUUUGGGGCAACAGAGCAGCUUGUGGAAAAAGGUACAGAGUGACAUGCACCGGAGCCACUAACCAAGGUGUCCCACAACCUUGCAAGGGAACCAGUGUCGUCGUUAAAAUUGUCGACUAUUGUCCUCCCGGAUGCAGAGGAACCAUUGAUCUCUCUCAAGAGGCCUUCGCCGUCAUUGCUAACCCCGACGCCGGCAAAAUCAAGAUUAGUUAUACUCAGUAAGCAC